GUGGAAAUAACAAAAGCAGUGACACACUGACUAAUUUGCCAAAGGUUUUCAGCAUCUGGGCUGCUGGAUUUGCCAUGAAAGACGGUAAAUCGUAAGUUUCGUCGUGUUUAUUACUCAGUUUUCAUAUUCGAAAAUAUUGUAUUUUUUGUCUUUUGCCGAAAAUAUAUCUAGCAGUUAUUAUCAGAAGAAUUGAAGGUACUUUCUAAAUCACUUAUAUUCAGUUUUUGUUGCCUUUUUGUAUGUAUUUGGUCUUCCAGCUGUAUCUUUUUCAAGUUUUUUUCUCGACUAUUUUGUACGCUUUUACCCAAAACUUGUCGAGACAACAACAAAUUCGACGAAUGCCAAGCCGGUUAAUUUUAUAAGUAG